GAUGAACGCUGGCGGCAUGCCUAACACAUGCAAGUCGAACGAAGCCUUCGGGCUUAGUGGCGCACGGGUGCGUAACGCGUGGGAAUCUGCCCUUGGGUUCGGAAUAACAGUUAGAAAUGACUGCUAAUACCGGAUGAUGUCUUCGGACCAAAGAUUUAUCGCCCAAGGAUGAGCCCGCGUAGGAUUAGGUAGUUGGUGGGGUAAUGGCCCACCAAGCCGACGAUCCUUAGCUGGUCUGAGAGGAUGAUCAGCCACACUGGGACUGAGACACGGCCCAGACUCCUACGGGAGGCAGCAGUGGGGAAUAUUGGACAAUGGGCGAAAGCCUGAUCCAGCAAUGCCGCGUGAGUGAUGAAGGCCUUCGGGUUGUAAAGCCCUUUUACCAGGGAUGAUAAUGACAGUACCUGGAGAAUAAGCUCCGGCUAACUCCGUGCCAGCCGCCGCAGUAA
rnacentral:rRNA from 1 species